rnacentral:rRNA from 1 species
UACGUAGGGGGCAAGCGUUGUCCGGAAUCAUUGGGCGUAAAGAGCGUGUAGGCGGUUCGGUAAGUCGGCUGUGAAAGUCCAGGGCUCAACCCUGGGAUGCCGGUCGAUACUGCCGGACUAGAGUUCGGAAGAGGCGAGUGGAAUUCCCGGUGUAGCGGUGAAAUGCGCAGAUAUCGGGAGGAACACCUAUGGCGAAGGCAGCUAACUAAGCUCAAACUGACGCUGAGGCACGAAAGUGUGGGGAUCAAACAGG